CCCCGCACACCCCAAAAAAAAUCAACACACACACCCUAGCCGAUUAGAAGCACCUGUGUUUCCAAAAUGGUCGCUGCAGUCAGCGAGGACGCCACACAAUGGGCCCAAACCAAACCAUUUUGCAUCUGUGUGGAACUAAAAGCCACUAGAGUGAAUAUAAUUUGAAAAACCAAAACAGUUAAAGGGAUUCCAGUCUGGAGGAUGACUUCUGUGGCCAAUCUCUCUGCAGGUUGCUGUCGCGCUGGAAUCAUCCAGAACCUCCGUCAAACGCCAGACAAAGCCGAGCGCUGUCGCAAGUCCACCUUGCGACGACACGACAGUAAUUCCAAGCAAUAUACUGUGACUUUGUGCAAAAUGCAGUUCUUGAGCAGAGCAACACGGUAUGCAUAAAAUUAGGGAGCUUUUCCUGCUCAUUGUAGUCCUCCGUCCAAAUCCUCAUAACUAAGACGCUUUGCAUACAGUUAGAAUAUUACUACAGAAGAUCUGUUCCAGGAUUUUUUUUUUUUUUUUUUUUUGUGUGAUGAGAGUUGAGAGACAAUAUUUAUCAGAGGCGUGAAGAAACAGCUCCACAGGCGUCAAACCCCAUCAGCAUUACCGCCGGCAUCAUCGUCACUUCAUCAAGCUCAUAAGACCAGUGAAUGAAUUCAAAGGAGGGGGGUUUGUCGUCUUCUCUUGGCGGUGUCAUUAGGAUGCAGCAGAGCCUGAAAUUGCACAUUUUACACCGCCAUCUCCAGCAAGGCGGAAAUUAUGGGCACAAAAGGAGUGAAUGCGGCGCCCUCGGUACGAUAACAACCGGGACUUUGAGGUGUUUAGAUGAAAUGCCGGUCGAUUCCGACCUGCGUCAGCCAUCAGAUGCGGCCGCUGGUGCUGUGAAAGGAACCUUCUUAGUAGAAAAGAGGCUGGAUCACAAAGUGGUAGACCAAGUGGAGUAAAACCACCUUUUUUUUUUCUUUUUCACAGCUUACUGAACCCCUUCAGACCUGAAAAAUGAACUACAGUGGUGCCUAGAGAUAUGAAUGACCAGAGGUACAAGCGCUCGCUUGGCCAUUUUAAAAGAAAAAUGUAUUUGUUUUCGCUUUGACUUGCAAGGGCUAAACGGUGGCACUGAACUCAACUCUGUUCUUGACAAGAGGAAGUUCGGAAGAUCGUAAACGAUUUUUCCAAAAAGUCAAGAUGCUCGUUGCCACGUUCAGUUGGAGUUUACUGUCAAACAAACUACGGGACAAAGAAAAUUACAGAUUGUUUACUUAAAACAACUACACAACUGCCUUAGUCUGCGAGCUCAAUGAUAACACAUUGUGGAAUGCCAUAAACAGGCGAACAAAUAGCGGGUGUGGUGGUGUUGCAGGCCUUCGAGCAAUCUAUUUGAAAACAAAAGGUGCAGUCACACGUGCAGACAGGAUAUUCCAAUAAUUAUGUGUAAUUUUUUUUUCAUCCCUUAGAAAAAAAAAAACAAUCAUUACUGCAGUUUACUGAGUCAGAGUAGUUGUGAAAUUUUUCGUCUGCAGGGAAAAAAUAUUUGUGGAUAUGUUUUGAGAUAAGAGCCUGGGCACGGAAUAGAUUAAAGUUGUAUCUCAAGGCACCACUGCCUUGGGCAAGUAGCCCACCAACAAAAUUAAAUAAAAUAGCCCUUAUAUUAAUAACUGGUGAACAUUUUAAAUACAGUAUUUAUGAAGUUUUUUUUCCUGGAAUUCUUCUACAAGAUUGAAAGGCAGCAACAAAAAAAGUCAUAUUUCAUUUCAUAAGCUCAAUACUUAUAUGGCAUGGAAAAAACAUGACUCAGCCGGGCUUUUACAAAGUGCAUUUUUAAAACAUCACAUUAGCGAUGAUGUCAGUCAAAGCCGAGUGAGACCAGGAGACAAAAGGAAACCACAGAAAUCCACCAAACGGGUAUCACAGUGCAGAAAUCAUACACAGGAUUUUGACUUGACUUAAAAUAAAAAAAUAAAAACAAAAAUUAAAAAAAAAUGGGUUGCAACUUGCACAUACACAGCUAAUCUACACAGAGCCUUAUUUUAAAAAUGAGUGGGAAAUAUGCUAAAAUAAAUACCUCAGUAAAUUCUUUACCAAAGAUUGAUUGUCACUUCUUUCUAACCGGCAACAAAGUAAAUGACAAUGAGUAUUGCAUGGGUACAUAUUUCCAUGACACGGUUGUCUUCUAAAGCGCUUGAAAGUUGUUUCUUUCUUUCUUUUUUUUAAAAUAUAUAUAUAUAUAUUUACUGUACUUUGCCCCUUCUCCUUCUGUUAUUAUUAUUCACCUCUUUAGACAGAAAAUAUGUGCGUUUGUCAUCAAAAGAUGAAUAUGAAAAAAAGAUCCAGCUUUUAUUUGCAUUUUUAGAUUAAAAGUAUUGGAACUGAUAGUGACUCGGAUUUUAUUUGCGAUUCCUCCACGUGAUCAUUGAAAUAAUCAAACGUUUGCAUUCUACCUUUCGUAGUACGCUUCCAGGCUACUUUCUCUCCAGUCUCCUCUUUAUCAGGUAAAAUGCAUGUUUGAUGGGAUUUAAGUCGGGAGAUUGACUUCAUUUAGGACUUUUACUUGCUGUAUGAUGAAAGAUCUCACAGUCAGUUUGGUUGUCUUUCUUAAAAUUGGCGUACAAAAUGUUUCUGAGGAGUUUUGAUUCGUCGCAAACAUCGUUACUGCAAUGUGAAGUAGUGGGAUUUUCCCGCAAGGAACCGGGUUAUUACCUCACAUGAGUUGUAGCAGACGAGCUUGUAUCGUUACGAUCAUGAGCCGAUCCUUUCUUUUCUCCAAUAUUUUCCGUUCUCUGAUAAAGGUUCAUCUUAGGCUCAUCAACUCGUACAUUUUUUUUCUGUUUCUGUACUUUUUUGGGGCAAAUUCCAGACGGUUCUUCCUAUUCUGAAAGGAUAUAUCCCUUCUACCAAUAGGUCAUGUAAUAUGUACUUUAUUUUGAAAAUGUGAUGUUAAAUCCUCUCUCAUUUAAUAUUGUUUUGAGAAGAUUUUUAUCCACAACUAUGAAUUUUCAGGGGCGCUGCUAUUUUCGCGAGUCACCUGACUUACGUGCACAGAUGUGACGUGUAAGGUGCGCACCAAAGGCUCGAUUACAUUAUGCCCAGCGCUGAUUUCUCGGAUUUAUCCUCAUCUGAUGAAGAAAUAGCAGUAUCGGUUGAUCGGGAAGACGGAGGAAUACUUCCAUACGGAUUUGAACCUGUGGCUGUAAUUAAUGUUAAAAUUUCGGAUGGUUCUUUGGGCGGGUCUGAGUACUCGGAAGCCUUCGCGCGGGCCGGCAGUCGGGGAUGGUUAUAUGGACGGGAAUGACGCGGAGUCUGACGAGCGAGCUCCGGUGGCUGUCGCGAGCUGAGCUUCCAGGUGGCAGAGGCCGUUAGCCCCGGAUGGCGAAGCUAGGCUAAAGGCCUCCGCUGCCACCGAAGGCGGGCCACGAGCUCUGGCGGCGGGCUGGGAGCCGAGCAUCGGUGGUGGUGGAGGCCUUUGGCCUAGCUUGGGCGUCCGUGGCUAAUGAAGCAGGCGGCGCCGGGCCACAAGCCAAGCUUCCGGGCGGCGGAGGCAAGUAGCCCCGGACACCGAAUCUCGGCUAAAGGCCUCCGCCACCACCGAAGCUCGGCUAAAGGCCUCCGCCACCUGAAAACUUGGAUCGCGGCCCGCCGCCGGAGCGUCAGUCUCUGCGUCAUUCCUGUCCAAAGAACCAGAUCAUGUGACUUGCGAAAAUGGCAGCGCCCUUGAAAAUUUGUAAUUGUCGAUUAAUAAUCUUCUCAAAACAUUAUUAAAUAAGGGAGGAUUUAACAUCACUCAUAUAUUACAUGACUUGGAUACAUUGUUUAUGCAAAGCACUGGAUUUCCCUUUUUAAGUUGUGUUCUGAAUCCAGAUGCAAAUACCUGGAAAUAAAAGCUGAACAGUUGCACUCUCGUCAUGUUAAUCUUCUGAAUUGAAGCACCAACAUGUUCAGUCUACUGUAAAAAUAAUAAAGAAAUUGGCCUCACUGUUCAAAUUUUUGGGAGGACAGCAUAUUUAUUUUGUAUCCUUUUUUUUUUUUUUUUUUCCUGCACAUUAAGCUUCUGCUGGCUUCUCAGGCCUGUGACGUUGACCAUCAGCGAAAUAGCAAAGCAGUUUUGUUUGUAUUAUCACAGGAAAGACAUGACACACUAGACUUGUGAAUGAGAAAUGAUAAUGAAAUAUUAAGAAAAAACAGAAUAAUUAAAAAAAAAAUCUAAAGUCCUCUCAAAUGACUGGAAUGGGAAGGUAAAUUCCUUUGUUUUUGUUGUACUAUAGUGAAGCCAUUUGGAUUUCAGAUUAAAAGAUGAAUAUGAGACAAAAUUUCAGAAUUCCAGCUUUUAUUUCACGGUAUUUACAUGUAGAUGUGUUAAACGACUCAGGCCACCCACUUUUCAAGUAAGCAAACGUAUUGGAACAGAUUUUGUAUGUUUCUGGGGGUUUCUCCUUUCAAUCUCUUCAGAAGGCAAAAUGCAUGCUCUAUUGGAUUAAGGUCGGAUGAUUGACUCGGGUGGUCUAAGACUGUCUACUUUUUCCUCCUGAUGAAGUCCUUAGCUGUGUUAGCAGUGUGUUUUUGGUCUCUGUCUUGUUACAUGAUGAAGCAUCUCCUGAUUUGUUUGGAUACAUUUUUAUGUAAAUUUCCAGACAAAAUGGUCUGCUACCAUCAUGAGUUAUAUCACCAAUCAAACCUAGUGAGGCCAUUCCAGAAGCAGCCAUGCCUUUACCUCCAGCAUGUUGUUUUGGAUCACAAGCAGAUAAUUUCUUUCUCCAUACUUUGGGCUUUCCAUCAUUUUGGUAGAGAGGUUAAACUCAACCCACUCAGUCCUGAAAACUUUGUUGGAUCAUCUCUGUACUUGGCAAAAAUCCAAUCUGGCCUUUUGAUUCUUUUUGCUGGUGAGUUGUUUGCAUCUUGUGGUACGACCCGUUGACUGUAUAUAUUCUCUCCAAGUCUUAAAUUAGGGUACUUUCCCCCCUGCCUUGUGGAGUUUGGCAGUGACAUCACUGACUCUCGGGUGUCUCUUCACGGCUCUCACAAUAUUUCUCUCAGCAACUGCUGUUGAUACCCUUGGCCGAGCUGCUCGAUGUCUUUUGCACGGUACGCCAGUAGUUCCUCUCUUUUUCAGGACAUUCCAAAUUAUUUGUUCAAAGGCUGUGGUCAAUAUUCUUCUCCCGACUUCAAAACUAUUUGCUUUUCUUUCAUAGACAGCUCUGCGGUCUUCACGUUUGCUUAAUGACAAAUGCAGUUUUCACAGGUGGAAGCCACAGGCAAAAACGAGCCCGACAAAUAUUUAAGUAAUCAUUCUAUGAUGCAACACUUGAGCAACUAGUAACACCCGUCAGUCGUACGUGUAAAUACUUUUGCUAGUUUGAAAGUCGGGUGGCUUCAAACAAAAUGUGCUCUCCUGUGUUAACACAUCUGGGUGUAAAUAAUAGCUGGAAUUCUGAACUUUUAUUUCAUAUUCAUCAUUUCAUUGAUUUUUUUAAACUCGUUUCUUUCGUAUCCAGCAAAACAAAGGAGCUGACUUUGCCGUUCCAAUACUUUGGGAGGGACCUGCUAAAAUUUGUAUGUACACUAUUCCAGAGCUUUAAAAGUGAAUGAUUACUUGGUAAGUUUUCGUGGCACGUGACCAGACUGGUGUUGCUGGUAUAUUGUAACUGUGGACAUGUGUGGAUUGAGGGUAUAAAAAUUCUACACACCCCUGAGCACAUGUCAGGUUAUUGUGAGAAAAGUGAGCGUGAGAUGAAUUCAUUAUAUAUGUGUGUGUGUAUUUAUGUAUGUGUGUUUGUAUAUAUAUGUCAUGUCAUUAUCCAAGCCACUUAUCCUCACAAGGGUUGCGGGAAAGCCGGAGCCUAUCCCAGCUAGCGUCGGGCGAAAGGUGGACUGCACCCUGAACUGGUCGCCAGUCAGUCACAGGGCAGAUAUCGACACCAUCACUGAGCGGGAAUCGAUUCCACCCUGCCUGCGCCAAAGUCAGGCGUGUGUACCACUACACAAUCAGUUCUCUAUCUAUCUAUCUAUCUAUCUAGCUAUCUAUCUAUCUAUCUAUCUAUCUAUCUAUCUAUCUAUCUAUCUAUCUAUCUAUCUAUCUAUCUAUCUAUCUAUCUAUCUAUCUAUCUAUCUAUCUAU